AUUGAACGCUGGCGGCAUGCCUUACACAUGCAAGUCGAACGGCAGCACGGGUGCUUGCACCUGGUGGCGAGUGGCGAACGGGUGAGUAAUACAUCGGAACAUGUCCUGUAGUGGGGGAUAGCCCGGCGAAAGCCGGAUUAAUACCGCAUACGAUCUACGUAUGAAAGCGUGGGACCUUCGGGCCUCGCGCUAUCGGGUUGGCCGAUGGCUGAUUAGCUAGUUGGUGGGGUAAAGGCCUACCAAGGCGACGAUCAGUAGCUGGUCUGAGAGGACGACCAGCCACACUGGGACUGAGACACGGCCCAGACUCCUACGGGAGGCAGCAGUGGGGAAUUUUGGACAAUGGGCGAAAGCCUGAUCCAGCAAUGCCGCGUGUGUGAAGAAGGCCUUCGGGUUGUAAAGCACUUUUGUCCGGAAAGAAAUCCUUGGCCCUAAUACGGUCGGGGGAUGACGGUACCGGAAGAAUAAGCACCGGCUAACUACGUG
rnacentral:rRNA from 1 species